GCGGAGCGGGAGGACAGAGAACACGGUCAGCAGGAGGGCUCGCGCGGGUGCGUCCUGCCGUGGACGGCCGCCGGUGUGGGAAGGUUGGCCUGGGGGCUCCUCUCUUCGCUGUCCUACCCCUUCGGACUCCCACACGGGCUUGGGGACGCCCGGAAGGGACGAUCCUGGAGCCGAGGCUGAAUGCAGGAAUUGGGAGGGGGAGCGGAGGAAGAAGGCUGCCGCGCACAGUGGGCCGCUACAUUUCAGAAUCCCGGUGUGACCACCCCGCACCCCGCGCCCUGGCAGGUCCAACCCCCUUACAGCCCAAACCCCUCCUCUAGGUCCGGCCCGCGGCCGCUGAAGAGACGAGGAGGACUGGAGGAAGUAAGACUCACCUCCCCGAUUCGUCGUCUAUCGGAUGCCCAAGGUUUGGAUUCUCCCACGGAAGAAGGCAAAGAAAUGUCUACAUCUACUAGAGGAACACCAGCCAGGCACCAUGGCCUGGAGGAGAAGCUGGGGAAGAAGCAAGGAUUCGCCAAGGCAGGUCCGACUAAGAUACUUUGGCAAAUAGCACAGCCUGCUCUAAAAGCCCAGAUCCUGUGGGCUUCCCGGGUGGCACAGUGGUUGAGAGCCCGCCUGCCGAUGCAGGGGACAUGGGUUUGUGUCCCGGUCCGGGAAGAUCCCACAUGCCGCGGAGCGGCUAGGCCCGUGAGCCAUGGCUGCUGAGCCUGUGCGUCGGAGCCUGUGCUCCGCAACGGGAGAGGCCCCAACAGUGAGAGG